AUACGGAGGGGACGAGCGUUGUCCGGAAUUACUGGGCGUAAAGGGCGCGCAGGCGGAUAUUUAAGUCAGCUGUAAAAGGCAUGAGCUCAACUCAUGUAUGCGGUUGAAACUGGGUAUCUAGAGUGCUGGAGAGGUAGGCGGAAUUCCCGGUGUAGCGGUUAAAUGCAUAGAUAUGAAGAAGAACACCGAUUGCGUAGGCAGCUGACCAGACCGCAAAUGACGAUCAUGCACGAAAGUGCGGGGAUCGAACAGGAUUAGAUACCCUGGUAGUACGCACAGUGAACGAUGAAUACUUGUUUUCGGCGAUAUAAUGUCGGAGGCAAAGCGAAAGCGAUAAGUAUUCCACCUGGGGAGUACGCCGGCAACGGUGAUACUCAAAUGAAUUGGCGGGG
rnacentral:rRNA from 1 species